UACGUAGGUGGCAAGCGUUGUCCGGAUUUACUGGGUGUAAAGGGCGUGCAGCCGGGAAGGCAAGUCAGAUGUGAAAUCUGGAGGCUCAACCUCCAAACUGCAUUUGAAACUGCUUUUCUUGAGUGUCGGAGAGGUAAUCGGAAUUCCUUGUGUAGCGGUGAAAUGCGUAGAUAUAAGGAAGAACACCAGUGGCGAAGGCGGAUUACUGGACGAUAACUGACGGUGAGGCGCGAAAGCGUGGGGAGCAAAC
rnacentral:rRNA from 1 species